GUGAGAGAGAGACCUUUAGAGACAGAGGUUGUUGUUGAGUUUAGAGGACAGAGCUGUAGGGUAGGAGUGUUCAGCACGCUGACAGAAGAACAGCACCAUUAUUCUUUUUGAUGGCAGCCAGCUCUUACACAACUCGUAAAUAGGCAAUGGAGAGGAGGAUAAGCAGGAUCAGCAGGCCAAACACUGUCUGUCUUUGCUGCCAGAGCCUGGGUGAAGGAGAAGAAGAGAAUGAAGGUGGAAAAUGAUGGAUGCAGACAUGAGGAGGCAGAAGUGAAUGGUAAACAAGAUGACAGCUCUGAGUCUAGCCACACAGCGUUGACAUUCUCUCCAUUUGGCUGUUCCUUGACGCCAAGACGCCUCUGAGGUAGUUCAACUUCAGCCUCACACUCUGCCAUCACAUUCAUCGGGAAGAAGUCCUGCUGAGAAAGAGACAGGCA